rnacentral:rRNA from 1 species
CUUAAUUGGGCGUUAAGUUGCAGGGUAUAGACCCGAAACCCGGUGAUCUAGCCAUGGGCAGGUUGAAGGUUGGGUAACACUAACUGGAGGACCGAACCGACUAAUGUUGAAAAAUUAGCGGAUGACCUGUGGCUGGGGGUGAAAGGCCAAUCAAACCGGGAGAUAGCUGGUUCUCCCCGAAAGCUAUUUAGGUAGCGCCUCGUGAAUUCAUCUCCGGGGGUAGAGCACUGUUUCGGCUAGGGGGCCAUCCCGGCUUACCAACCCGAUGCAAACUGCGAAUACCGGAGAAUGUUAUCACGGGAGACACACGGCGGGUGCUAACGUCCGUCGUGAAGAGGGAAACAACCCAGACCGCCAGCUAAGGUCCCAAAGUCAUGGUUAAGUGGGAAACGAUGUGGGAAGGCCCAGACAGCCAGGAUGUUGGCUUAGAAGCAGCCAUCAUUUAAAGAAAGCGUAAUAGCUCACUGGUCGAGUCGGCCUGCGCGGAAGAUGUAACGGGGCUAAACCAUGCACCGAAGCUGCGGCAGCGAACGUAUCACCCAAGACAACUUUGCGGAGUUGACGAUUGACGGAGCGAAGCGACGUCAAAGCGUUCAUUAAAGUCGAGUUGGCUUAGGGAUACGUUCGUUGGGUAGGGGAGCGUUCUGUAAGCC